UCUGGUUUGGUAGAAAAGAAUGAACAUUUCUUUCUUAACAUAGUAAUGCUGUAAUUUGUACCACCAACUUAUUACUGCAACGAAAACCAUGUUUUUUCCCUUAUUUGGUAUUAUCAGGAGGGUAGAUAAAAAUUAUCCACCCUUAUUAUUGUAGACAACAAUUUGCAUAUUUUUCUAAGGGCCUGUGUAAAAUCUGCAAGCAUUUCAUUAAAUUCUCCUAGUGAAAUCUACAUACUUCGUACCCAGCCUCCUCAUAAUGCUGUUUCCUAUCUCAGGCAGGAUAACUUCCUUGCAUCCUUUUUAUACUCUCUCAAAUCCCUCUCACUGCUGACUGGUCACCAAAUCCUGUGGGUCAUCUCCACUACUCGGCACUUUCUUCAGGUUAUUAGGUCUCACCUACACUAUUUAAAAAAAUGUAUUAGUCUGGGGGCACCUGGGUGGCUCAGUCGGUUAAGUGUCCGACUUCAGCUCAGG